rnacentral:rRNA from 1 species
CUUAAGCUGAUCCCUUCGGGGUGACGCUUUUGGUGACUUAGUGGCGAACGGGUGAGUAACACGUGGGUGAUCUGCCCCCAAGUGCGGCAUAACAGUGGGAAACCGCUGCUAAUUCCGCAUGUGCUUGCGCCUCUUGUGGCGUAAGUAAAGCUUAAUUGCGCUUGGGGAUGAGCCCGCGGCACAUCAGCUAGUUGGUGGGGUAAAGGCCUACCAAGGCGACGACGUGUAGCCGACCUGAGAGGGUGACCGGCCACAGGGGUACUGAGACACGGACCCCACUCCUACGGGAGGCAGCAGUUAGGAAUCUUCCACAAUGGGCGCAAGCCUGAUGGAGCGACACUGCAUGAGGGAUGAAGGUUUUCGGAUCGUAAACCUCUGAAUCAGGGACGAUAAUGACGGUACCUGAGUAAUAGCACCGGCUAACUCCGUGCCAGCAGCCGCGGUAAUACGGAGGGUGCGAGCGUUAUCCGGAACCACUGGGCGUAAAGGGCACGUAGGCGGUCUACUAAGUCCGAUGUUAAAGAGUGGGGCUCAACCCCAUCACGGCGUUGGAUACUGGCAGGCUUGACGACUGGAGAGGAAAGUAGAAUUACCAGUGUAGCGGUGAAAUGCGUAGAUACUGGUAGGAAUACCCAUUGCGAAGGCAGCUUUCUGGACAGUUUGUGACGCUGAGGUGCGAAAGUGUGGGGAGCAAACCGGAUUAGAUACCCGGGUAGUCUA